CUGAGGAAAGGCAGCGAACACCAGGCGGUUGUGCAGCACUUGGAGAAGUCCUUUGCCAUUGCCUCCUUGGUAGAGACGGGCCACCUGGCAGCUUUCUCCCU
rnacentral:sRNA from 1 species